rnacentral:misc_RNA from 1 species
CAAAAGAAAUGGGCAGAAGCGUGAUGGAUGCGGGAUCUUUUAUAAGCCGGAUAGUGCAGAGUUGCUCAUUAAAGAAAAGGUUGAAUACAAUGAUCUUGUACCCUCAAAUCAAGACGAUACUUCAUCUGAGGAUAAAGAGGAGAAUUUGCCUGCUGGUGGAAAUAAAAAGUUAGCGUCAAAAGAUGCCGGUUUGAAAAACAAGCGAGCAGGUCAUGGAGACCUAAAUGAUCCUUGUGUUAGAUUUAAACGUGACUGUGUCGGUAUUAUGGCGGCCUUUAGGCUGAAGGAUCCUUCUCAUUUUAUCAUUGUGGCCAACACUCACAUUUACUGGGAUCCAGAAUUGGCCGAUGUCAAACUUGCACAAGCUAGAUACUUGCUUUCACGCUUAGCUCAAUUCAAG